rnacentral:rRNA from 1 species
GAUUGAACGCUGGCGGCAUGCCUUACACAUGCAAGUCGAACGGCAGCACGGGUGCUUGCACCUGGUGGCGAGUGGCGAACGGGUGAGUAAUACAUCGGAACAUGUCCUGUAGUGGGGGAUAGCCCGGCGAAAGCCGGAUUAAUACCGCAUACGAUCUACGGAUGAAAGCGGGGGACCUUCGGGCCUCGCGCUAUAGGGUUGGCCGAUGGCUGAUUAGCUAGUUGGUGGGGUAAAGGCCUACCAAGGCGACGAUCAGUAGCUGGUCUGAGAGGACGACCAGCCACACUGGGACUGAGACACGGCCCAGACUCCUACGGGAGGCAGCAGUGGGGAAUUUUGGACAAUGGGCGAAAGCCUGAUCCAGCAAUGCCGCGUGUGUGAAGAAGGCCUUCGGGUUGUAAAGCACUUUUGUCCGGAAAGAAAUCCUUGGCUCUAAUACAGUCGGGGGAUGACGGUACCGGAAGAAUAAGCACCGGCUAACUACGUGCCAGCAGCCGCGGUAAUACGUAGGGUGCGAGCGUUAAUCGGAAUUACUGGGCGUAAAGCGUGCGCAGGCGGUUUGCUAAGACCGAUGUGAAAUCCCCGGGCUCAACCUGGGAACUGCAUUGGUGACUGGCAGGCUAGAGUAUGGCAGAGGGGGGUAGAAUUCCACGUGUAGCAGUGAAAUGCGUAGAGAUGUGGAGGAAUACCGAUGGCGAAGGCAGCCCCCUGGGCCAAUACUGACGCUCAUGCACGAAAGCGUGGGGAGCAAACAGGAUUAGAUACCCUGGUAGUCCACGCCCUAAACGAUGUCAACUAGUUGUUGGGGAUUCAUUUCCCUUAGUAACGUAGCUAACGCGUGAAGUUGACCGCCUGGGGAGUACGGUCGCAAGAUUAAAACUCAAAGGAAUUGACGGGGACCCGCACAAGCGGUGGAUGAUGUGGAUUAAUUCGAUGCAACGCGAAAAACCUUACCUACCCUUGACAUGGUCGGAAUCCUGCUGAGAGGCGGGAGUGCUCGAAAGAGAACCGGCGCACAGGUGCUGCAUGGCUGUCGCCAGCUCGUGUCGUGAGAUGUUGGGUUAAGUCCCGCAACGAGCGCAACCCUUGUCCUUAGUUGCUACGCAAGAGCACUCUAAGGAGACUGCCGGUGACAAACCGGAGGAAGGUGGGGAUGACGUCAAGUCCUCAUGGCCCUUAUGGGUAGGGCUUCACACGUCAUACAAUGGUCGGAACAGAGGGUUGCCAACCCGCGAGGGGGAGCUAAUCCCAGAAAACCGAUCGUAGUCCGGAUUGCACUCUGCAACUCGAGUGCAUGAAGCUGGAAUCGCUAGUAAUCGCGGAUCAGCAUGCCGCGGUGAAUACGUUCCCGGGUCUUGUACACACCGCC